rnacentral:rRNA from 1 species
AUGGAAGUCGGGGCAAACCUGGACCCGACCCCGAGCUCUCCUACUAGCGCACCGGCGGCGGCCACUCUGGCCCCGUCGGCCACUCCACCGCUGGCCCGCAGCCCAGCCGCCAUGCUGCCACCGCCUCCCCCCUCGCUGCCCGUGGGCUUUAAGCCGGUGGUCGUCCCGCCGCCAUCCCCGCCGUCUUUCCCAUCAGAUCUGGAUCGGGACCUCCUGCUUCCGACGCCGACGACAACACCGGACUGCCCAGCUCCGGCGCCGGCCACUGCGACGCCGACGCCCCCCAUGCCCGCGGCAGCUGGUGGCUGCCCCGCUCCGGCGACGGCGGUUGCUGCUGCCGACAACCCCAUGGUGGCUCCAUCCCUCCUCCAACCGGCUGCGUCCCGGAGCUCGCGUCCGUCUUCAUCGAGCUCGCUCCCCUCCGAGCCAGCGCCCGUGGACCCUCUAGCACCGUCGUUCGCCGCCGCUGCACUAGUCGCGGCUGCACUUGCUUGUUGCAGAUCGGACCCGGCCAUAGGAGGGCGGAAGGCUCGUUCCCAGGAGGGCCUGGAUCCCUUUGCUUCGCCGCCUGCUGGACGACCUUACCUGCCUGCCGGCCAACCUCCUGCACUCACUGCUCCUGCGCCGCGCGAUGCUGCUGGAGGCGAUCGCUCCGUCCCGCCCGUGCGCUCGGGUUGGGGGGAUUGGCGUGGAUGCUUCCAUCGUGAUGAGGCGACGACCGUUCUCGAGUGUGAGCUUGGGGGAUGGCAGACUGUCUCGAAGGGGCGCCGCUCGCCGCCUCCUACAGUUUUUUGUCGCCCUUCCACCACUGUGCGGCGUUCCCCUCCGGCGUGGCUGAGAAACAGGUGUUUCCGGUGUCUCUGUCGAGGUCAUCGCGCACACUCUUGCAGAGAUCCAAUCCGAUGCACGGACUGCCUUCGAUCUGGACACAUCGCUCGCUUCUGUCGUGCUAAGAAGCCCGUCCACCAAGCUUCGCUGCUCCAAUGUCAUGCUCGAUCGCCUGCAUCCACCGGUGAUGUCUCGAUGAUAGAUGUGCAGUUCCGGUCUAUCUCGGCUGAGCACGUCGGGUUGGUGGAGGAGACCAAGAUGCUUCGCACUGAGCUUCACGACUGCCUUGCACGCGUCAACAGUGUUUUGGGGAGGGCGGAGGCCGCUCUUGACAAACUAGAGGUGGUGCCGGAUGUGUCUUCGUUGCCUGAGCUUCAGAUUGGGGUUGUGCCAGAUGUGUCCCUGCUGCCCGAAAUCCAGGUUGGCUCUGUCGAUGGGGAAGCUGGCAUGUAUGGAGAUCUCUCCCCCCAUGCCACAGCUUGUCGGUUGCCGUUGCCUGUCGUGCCAGUUGCUUCUAGGAGUGAAGUCAUUGUCGAGGUUGUGGCUCUGGUGCUGCAGAUUAUGCCUGAGCUUCAGAAGCUCUGUGGGGAGACCACUUCGCCUAUUUCGAUGGUGCUUCCUGAGGAGAUGGGGUCUCUUAGAGGGGACUUGGCGAUGCCGACCGCGACCUCAUCGUCUUCGUUGGAGCCGAGUCAGGCGCUCGCCUUUGUGGACCUUGGAGGUUUGGUUGUUGUUGCUGCUCUCUCAGCUGAGCUUGUUGGCCCGGUAGCGUCUGUUGGAGCUGAGGUUGAUGAGGUAGGUGCUUUAGCACCUGUUUCUGAGGCGCCGGAGCCGGUCCGGUCUUCCAUCUUUGACCAUGACGCUAUGUGGGCACGUAUUGACGAGGUGGUCUACGCGAAAAAGCUUGGCCGCUUGCUCACCGGCUUGGAUGCAGCUUGUCCUGGGUCUGCCAAGACGAUUGCUUGCCUCCUGGUGGAGGAGGUUUCUUCAGGCAAAAGAAGAAGGUGA